rnacentral:misc_RNA from 1 species
CCAGUGUCCUUCAAUAUUAGCAGUCCAUCGACUCCAACAUUCAACAUAAAAAAACUUUGACAUCCCAUUUAAUUUCUGGACUUCACAUUUGCCAUUUUUCUAUUUGCAUAUAUAUCUGGGAAUAGAAAUGAAUUUUACCCCAAAAAAAAAAAAUACAAACUAAAAAUUACAAAAAAAGAUACUGAAGGAAUUGACAAAAAGAGAAGGGGGAAAAAAGGAGCGCGAGAAAGACGCCUCUUUACCCAAGAAACAACCAAAACUGAGGCUGGAAAAACUGAAAAGGAUUUCCACUGAAGAAUUCAUGGAGAAAAUUCAAGAAGCUUCCUCCUGAUCAAUACCACUAUUUUGCAACUAGCAAUACUGUUAUAAUUGGUAUCUUCUUUCUCUUGUUUUAUGCAUGAACAAUCUGUUGGUCCACAUCUCCAUCAAUGAGCAUCACUGAACUGUGAUGGUGCACCAUGUACCAUCGACCAUUAUGGAACUCAAAGACAUUAGU